AGUGUGUCAGUAGGUGUAUUGUUAAUUUUACUAACUGUCAGUGUCAUUUUCAAGAUCUAUUAGAAUUAGAGGUCCUUGUAACAAGCAAGCAAAAUCUGAUGUG